GUUAAUGUAGCAAAAUGGCAUUGCAAAAGCCCUAAAACCUUUUUAUAGAGGUUCAAACCCUCUCAUUAACU
rnacentral:tRNA from 1 species